GCCUGGGUGGCUUAGUUGGUUGAGCAUUUGACUUCAGCUCAGGUCAUGAUCUCAUGGUUGGUGGGUUCGAGCCCUGCAACAGGCU
rnacentral:tRNA from 1 species